CAGUAGCCACGGGAAUACGUAGGUGGCAAGCGUUGUCCGGAUUUAUUGGGCGUAAAGCGAGCGCAGGCGGUUCCUUAAGUCUGAUGUGAAAACCCCCGGCUCAACCGGGGAGGGUCAUUGGAAACUGGGGAACUUGAGUGCAGAAGAGGAGAGCGGAAUUCCAUGUGUAGCGGUGAAAUGCGUAGAUAUAUGGAGGAACACCAGUGGCGAAGGCGACUCUCUGGUCUGUAACUGACGCUGAGGAGCGAAAGCGUGGGGAGCGAACAGGAUUAGAUACCCGCGUAGUCCCUGUCUCUUAUAA
rnacentral:rRNA from 1 species